AUUGAACGCUGGCGGCAUGCUUUACACAUGCAAGUCGAACGGUAACAGGUUAAGCUGACGAGUGGCGAACGGGUGAGUAAUGCAUCGGAACGUGCCCGGUCGUGGGGGAUAACGCAGCGAAAGCUGCGCUAAUACCGCAUACGAUCUGAGGAUGAAAGCGGGGGACCGUAAGGCCUCGCGCGAUCGGAGCGGCCGAUGUCAGAUUAGGUAGUUGGUGGGGUAAAGGCUCACCAAGCCGACGAUCUGUAGCUGGUCUGAGAGGACGACCAGCCACACUGGGAAUGAGACACGGCCCAGACUCCUACGGGAGGCAGCAGUGGGGAAGUUUGGACAAUGGGCGCAAGCCUGAUCCAGCAAUGCCGCGUGCAGGAAGAAGGCCGUCGGGUUGUAAACUGCUUUUGUACGGAGCGAAAAGGCUCUCUCUAAUACAGGGGGCUCAUGACGGUACCGUAAGAAUAAGCACCGGCUAACUACGUGCCAGCCGCCGCAGUAA
rnacentral:rRNA from 1 species